rnacentral:lncRNA from 1 species
AGAAGAAGGGGAAAUGUUAAAGGGGCAACCACCAAACUGUCUUUAGCAGGUAGAGGACAGUAAGAAGAGGUUAACAGCCAAAUGUUAAGAUAAGCUUUGUUAUUUUUGGGCAAAGUCCCUUCCAGAAAAUACAUGCCACUGGCAGCCCCAUAAGUGUGUAUGAGAGCAUCAGGAAUCCUCUCUGACUGUGAAAGUCUUCAGGAUGAUGUUUCUGAACUAGGAAAAGAAUUCUGAAAAUAUUCAGAGUCAGUUGUCCCACCAUGAUCAUUGGCUUUCAGAGAGGCAGAAAGAGCUAUACCCCAGGCAGUUGCUCUGAGCUCUGAGAAUUGGAUCGGAAGCAAUUUCCUGGUUCUGGCCUCUAGAUGAAUGAAAAAAAAUCAAGUUCCUUUGGCACCUGCUUUGGGAGGGAGAUGCUCCACAAUCUUGUCUCUAUUCAGAAUCAAUUUAACAAGGUGGACCAUGUGACUCCACGGUUGCCAAUGGCUAUGUUUUCCAUUACAUCAUGCGA